UACAGAGGUGGCAAGCGUUGCUCGGUAUCACUGGGCUUAAAGGGCGCGUAGGCGGUGCGGUACGGUUUCGGUGAAAUCCCUCGGCCCAACCGAGGAACAGCCGGAGCUACGGCCGGACUAGACGGCAUCAGGGGACAGUGGAACUCCAGGUGGAGCGGUGAAAUGCGUAGAUAUCAGGAGGAACACCGGUGGUGUAAACGGCUCUCUGGACCGUAACUGACGCUGAGGCACGAAAGCGUGGGUAGCAAACAGG
rnacentral:rRNA from 1 species